rnacentral:rRNA from 1 species
GGAUUAGAUACCCUGGUAGUCCACACCGUAAACGCUGUCUACUAGCUGUGUGUGAUUUUAAAUCGUGCGUAGCGAAGCAAACGCGCUAAGUAGACCGCCUGGGGAGUACGGCCGCAAGGUUAAAACUCAAAUGAAUUGACGGGGGCCCGCACAAGCGGUGGAGCAUGUGGUUUAAUUCGAUGCAACGCGAAGAACCUUACCUACACUUGACAUGCCAAGAAUUUACCAGAGAUGGUUUAGUGCCUUCGGGAACUUGGACACAGGUGCUGCAUGGCUGUCGUCAGCUCGUGCUG